CUGACAAGUACUUGUGGGACACCCCAGCCUAGGCACGGCUCAAGGUCUGAGUUGACCUUCCACUUACCAAAAGGACAGGUGGUUCCCACAUGCUCUACCUUACAAGGUGGCUUAAUUCUUUGGACCACUGAUGAAGACAAUUGUCGAAACGCGUCUGGUCUUUUUUUGAAUCUUUUGUACACUUUUAUCUGCUUUGGGCAUACUGUAUAUCCCUUUCCAUCCAAGCCUCUGUCUGUGCACUCUGUAAUUAUAAUAAUAUUGUGUGUACUCAUUUCUAUACAAGGUGUGAGACGCAGAGGAAUUGUUAUAGUUUUGUAUUAUUUUGGGAAUUGCAGUUUUCAAGCCCAGUUCUGCCUAUUAUCUUACUAAGUGUGGCUUACAAGCCAGAAUAAGCCUCACAGCGGGUUUUAGCUCUUAUUUUUGUAUUUAACAUAUUGUUCUAAUAAAAUUAUAGUUUUUUUAGCUUCAU